rnacentral:rRNA from 1 species
UACGUAGGGCGCGAGCGUUGUCCGGAUUUAUUGGGCGUAAAGAGCUCGUAGGCGGUUUGUCGCGUCUGCCGUGAAAGUCCGGGGCUCAACUCCGGAUCUGCGGUGGGUACGGGCAGACUAGAGUGAUGUAGGGGAGACUGGAAUUCCUGGUGUAGCGGUGAAAUGCGCAGAUAUCAGGAGGAACACCGAUGGCGAAGGCAGGUCUCCUGGGCAUUAACUGACGCUGAGGAGCGAAAGCAUGGGGAGCGAACAGG